rnacentral:tRNA from 1 species
UCCGUUAUAGUCUAGUCGGUCAGGACAUCGCCCUUUCAAGGCGAAAACCCGGGUUCGAACCCCGGUAUCGGAA